UAGCUCAGCGGUAGAGCACUGCCUUCACACGGCAGGGGUCGCAGGUUCGAACCCUGN
rfam:Pelomonas sp. Root1444 contig_5, whole genome shotgun sequence.